CCUACGGGAGGCAGCAGUGGGGAAUAUUGCACAAUGGGGGGAACCCUGAUGCAGCGACGCCGCGUGAGUGAAGAAGUAUUUCGGUAUGUAAAGCUCUAUCAGCAGGGAAGAAAAUGACGGUACCUGACUAAGAAGCCUCCGCUAACUACGUGCCAGCAGCCGCGGUAAUACGUAGGGGGCAAGCGUUAUCCGGAUUUACGGGGUGUAAAGGGAGCGUAGACGGCAGAGCAAGUCUGAAGUGAAAGCCAGCGGCCCAACCGCGGGACUGCUUUGGAAACUGCCCGGCUAGAGUGCAGGAGAGGUAAGCGGAAUUCCUAGUGUAGCGGUGAAAUGCGUAGAUAUUAGGAGGAACACCAGUGGCGAAGGCGGCUUACUGGACAGUAACUGACGUUGAGGCUCGAAAGCGUGGGGAGCAAACAGGAUUAGAUACCCGAGUAGUC
rnacentral:rRNA from 1 species